GAGGUGAAGGAGCUAAUGGUUGAUUAGAAGUACCAUCUUGGAGUAAAGGGGUUGAUUGUUGAGGAAUAACCACCUUAGAAGUGGAUUGUGGAUGUGGGGAGUCUCUUUUACAUGUUGCAUCUAUGCCUCCUCGAUUAGUGGCAAAACGUUUACGACCUUUACCUCUUGGCAUAAUUACUUAACCUGAAAAUCCUCAUCAUCUUCACUAUCAUUGUACUCAAUAUUAUCAUCACUUUGUUCAUCUUCUUCAUUUCCAGAAGAAUCAAAGUCAGAUUCAUCUAAUUCUUCUUCAUUUUCAUGUCUAUCAAUUUCAUCUGCUCCUUCAUUUUCAGGAAUUUCUUCCUCAAUCUCAUGUUCUUCCACUUCACCAUUUUCAUGGCAUAGAGACUCAAGAUCAUCGGUGAUAAUUGGGACUGAUGCAAUAUAACAAUCAUCUUCUUGGUAAGGCACAUUUGGAGAAUCAAUUCUACUUCUAGCUUUGACCUUACACACAACCCACCAAUCAACCCUUUCUUUCUUUUUACUAUGAUAUUCUAAAAAGUAGACUUGUUGUGAUUGUGCCGCCAAAACAAAAGGUUCAUAGGCAUAGCUCAAAAACCGUUUCUUAUGAUUAAUAUCAAUUAGACCAUAUCGAUUAUGAACCUUCCACCCUCGAUCCAAAGUUGGAUUGAACCAAUCACACUUGAAUAACACCAGAGUAGUUCUUUUGUUUGUUGGAUUGGGAAACUCUAGUUGUAUAACAUCAACUAGCAUUCCAUAGUAGUCACUUUCAUUUUCACUCCAACUUUUUCCUUUGAUGCACACACCACUAUUUAUAGUUGAUUUAUUCGAGCCAUGAGUGAGCGUGUGGAACCUAUAGCCAUUAGUAAAAUACUGAGGCCAUGUCUGCACCCAUUUAUAUGGACCACAAGCUAAAUUUUUUAACCGCUCAUCAACUAUGGUGUUUACUGGAUCAAAAACCUAUCAAUACACCAAAUCAACCAAACAUAUGCUUAGUAAAAUAGAAAUUGUUUUUCUCCUUUUUUUUUCCGAAUUCUAUUUUAGUUGUAAUAAUAUAAAAAAUAUUAAUUUUUAUUUAAUCAUCAAUCUGAGAUGGCAUGACGAAGGAGAAGUGUAGUUUCUGCAUCGC
rnacentral:misc_RNA from 1 species